AGUGAACGCUGGCGGUAGGCCUAACACAUGCCAGUCGAACGGCAGCACAGUAAGAGCUUGCUCUUACUGGUGGCGAGUGGCGGACGGGUGAGGAAUACAUCGGAAUCUACUUUUUCGUGGGGGAUAACGUAGGGAAACUUACGCUAAUACCGCAUACGACCUACGGGUGAAAGCAGGGGAUCUUCGGACCUUGCGCGAUUGAAUGAGCCGAUGUCGGAUUAGCUAGUUGGCGGGGUAAAGGCCCACCAAGGCGACGAUCCGUAGCUGGUCUGAGAGGAUGAUCAGCCAAACUGGAACUGAGACACGGUCCAGACUCCUACGGGAGGCAGCAGUGGGGAAUAUUGGACAAUGGGCGCAAGCCUGAUCCAGCCAUACCGCGUGGGUGAAGAAGGCCUUCGGGUUGUAAAGCCCUUUUGUUGGGAAAGAAAAGCAGCAGGUUAAUACCCCGCUGUUCUGACGGUACCCAAAGAAUAAGCACCGGCUAACUUCGUG
rnacentral:rRNA from 1 species